ensembl:snoRNA U3 Small nucleolar RNA U3
AAGACUCUACUUUCAGGGCUCAUUUCUAUCAUGCAAUACUAGAGAAGUUUCUCUGAAUGUUUAGAGCACUGGAAACCAAACGGAGGAGGCAGGCAUUCUUUCCGGAGCAUGUAGCCAGCUCAUAGUGUUGUUUCGUUGCAGCUGCCGCUUGCCAUUGAUGAUCCUUCUUCUCUUCCUUAAGGGGAGUAAGAAGGAGAGGACACAGUCUUAGUGGU